rnacentral:rRNA from 1 species
CCCUUAGGCGUUCUGGGCCGCACGCGCGCUACACUGACCAGUGCAACAAGCAUCCGUCCUUGGCCGACAGGCUCGGGCAAUCUUUGAACGCUGGUCGUGAUGGGGAUAGACUUUUGCAAUUUUUGGUCUUCAACGAGGAAUUCCUAGUAAACGCAAGUCAUCAACUUGCAUUGAUUACGUCCCUGCCCUUUGUACACACCGCCCGUCGCACCUACCGAUUGAAUGGUCCGGUGAAGCCUCCGGAUUGGCGCGCACCUCGGUGCCGCCGAGAAGUUGGCUAAACCUUACCAUUUAGAGGAAGGUGAAGUCGUAACA